CAGAGUUCAUGCCCUUCGGGGUAGACCUCCCACCCUUUGUAUACCGUGCCUUUGUUGCUUUGGCGGGCCGCCUCGCGGCCACCGGCCCUCGGGCUGGUGCGCGCCCGCCAGAGAAACCCAAACCCUGUCUUACAGUGUCGUCCGAGUACUAUAUAAUAGUUA
rnacentral:misc_RNA from 1 species